GACAGAGGGUGCAAACGUUGCUCGGAAUUACUGGGCGUAAAGCGUGCGUAGGCGGUCCGCGAAGUCUGAUGUGAAAGCCCCGGGCUCAACCUGGGAAUGGCAAUGGAAACUGGCGGGCUGGAGUAUGGCAGAGGGGGGUGGAAUUCCGCGUGUAGCAGUGAAAUGCGUAGAGAUGCGGAGGAACACCGAUGGCGAAGGCAGCCCCCUGGGCCAAUACUGACGCUCAGGCACGAAAGCGUGGGGAGCAAACAGG
rnacentral:rRNA from 1 species